rnacentral:misc_RNA from 1 species
UUUUUUGCAUUCAUCAUCAAUUUAAUAUUGGCACCACAGAUCCAGAUCCACUGAAAGAACACAAGCGCCGAAACCCAGAAUCCAAAAUCGAAUCAAAGAAUAAAUUACCUAAACCUAAAGAUUGAAAACAGUAGAAGAGAAACCCUAACCCUAAACUUGAGGAUAUAUAUUUAACAGAAGAAGCAAAAACCCUAACCCUAGAAAAGGGUUUUUCGAGGAGAUAGAGAGAGAAGUGACAGGGCUCGAAGAAUGUAGAGCUUGGAAAUG